CAUAUCAAAAAGCGGAGGAAAAGAAACCAACAGGGAUUGCCUCAGUAACGGCGAGUGAAGCGGCAAAAGCUCAAAUUUGAAAUCCCCCGGGAAUUGUAAUUUGAAGAGAUUUGGGUCCGGCCGGCGGGGGUUAAGUCCACUGGAAAGUGGCGCCACAGAGGGUGACAGCCCCGUGAACCCCUUCAACGCCCUCAUCCCAGAUCUCCAAGAGUCGAGUUGUUUGGGAAUGCAGCUCUAAGUGGGUGGUAAAUUCCAUCUAAAGCUAAAUACCGGCGAGAGACCGAUAGCGAACAAGUACAGUGAUGGAAAGAUGAAAAGCACUUUGAAAAGAGAGUGAAAAAGUACGUGAAAUUGUUGAAAGGGAAGGGCUUGCAAGCAGACACUUAACUGGGCCAGCAUCGGGGCGGCGGGAAACAAAACCACCGGGGAAUGUACCUCUCGAGGAUUAUAACCCCGGUCUCAAUUUCCUUGUUGCCCCGAGGCCUGCAAUCUAAGGAUGCUGGCGUAAUGGUUGCAAGUCGCCCGUCUUGAACCACGGACCAAAAAAACCCCAAAG
rnacentral:rRNA from 1 species